rnacentral:snRNA from 1 species
GUGCUCGCUUUGGCAGCACAUAUACUAAAAUUGGAAUGAUACAGAGGAGAUUAGCAUCGGCCCUGUGCAAGGGAUGAUAUGCAAAUUCAUGAAGCAUUCCACAUAUUU